rnacentral:rRNA from 1 species
UACGUAGGGUGCAAGCGUUGUCCGGAAUUAUUGGGCGUAAAGGGCUCGUAGGCGGUUUGUCGCGUCGGGAGUGAAAAUCCAGGGCUUAACUCUGGACUGGCUUCCGAUACGGGCAGACUAGAGUAUGCAGGGGAGAACGGAAUUCCUGGUGUAGCGGUAGAAAUGCGCAGAUAUCAGGAGGAACACCGGUGGCGAAGGCGGUUCUCUGGGCAUUACCUGACGCUGAGGAGCGAAAGUGUGGGGAGCGAACAGG